UACGUAGAUCCCGAGCGUUGUCCGGAUUUAUUGGGCGUAAAGCGAGCGCAGGUGGUUUAUUAAGUCUGGUGUAAAAGGCAGUGGCUCAACCAUUGUAUGCAUUGGAAACUGGUAGACUUGAGUGCAGGAGAGGAGAGUGGAAUUCCAUGUGUAGCGGUGAAAUGCGUAGAUAUAUGGAGGAACACCGGUGGCGAAAGCGGCUCUCUGGCCUGUAACUGACACUGAGGCUCAAAAGCGUGGGGAGCAAACAGG
rnacentral:rRNA from 1 species